CUCAUGCUUAUGUGGUACCCUGCACACUGUGAUUGUGAGCAGAGCCUCCCAGAUGUCGUGACAACCUCAGGCAUUGGUGGUGCCCUGACAACAUGAAUGUGAGCACAGCCCUUCCACACACUGACAGGCACCGAUAUGUGUGGUCCUGCUACAAGCUCAUGCCUAUGUGUGGAGCCGUCUUCAACCUGAAUACAGCCAAAGCUCCCAACCUGUGGACCAUGGCAGGUGUGUGUGGAGGAAUCUACUAUGUGAUUGUGGACAGAAGCCCCCAUACACAUCUGGACCUGACUACUGAGGGUCAUGGGAGGAUGCCCAAUGUGUAGGCUCUGUAUGGGCCCUCCAUAUAUAACUGUGAGUGGAGCUAGAUUGAUUCCCUGACCUCUCAUCACAACCAGUCAUGUAGGGAAUCUUGUACAAUGCAAACUUGACCUGAACACUCCCCAUGUCUUCAUCACAUGUGUAGUGACUUGGACAGUGUAAUCGAUAAACCAACUGUCUGUUCAUCUUGUUGGAAACACUAAAAUACUGUGAACAUACUCCCUGUGUCUGACUACAUCACGAAGGAGUGAUAUAGGCAGGGACACUUGUCCAUGUCAUGAAGACCUCAGACAUUGGUGGAGCCCUAUACAACGAGAACGUGACCCAAGCCUCUCCAUGUCCCUACUGAGUGGCAUGUGUGGAGCCCUCCAUGACUUUGAUGGGAGCAGAACUAGGUAACAAGACCAACUCGGUUCUCUGCAGUUCUCAGUUCCAAGGAGGAAGUUAUCAGAGCUGUCUAUUUCCUGACCACCUCAGCAGGUUGUCAGGCCCUCCUGAAACAAGGAACUGAGCAUUGCCCCACUGUUUUGACCACUUGGGGCAUGUGGAGCCCUCUGUAAGGAGAUUGUGAGCAGAGCACAUCCAGCAGGUAGAAUACAGUGAUACAUGGAUGGAGUAGAGCCCCCAGUAUCCUGCCCACUUCAGAAAGGAGCAGAGACCUCCACAGCAUGGAUAUGGGAGAUCCCUUAAUGUCGUGAACACCAUCGUGGGAUGGGGGUCCUUAUACAACAAGGAGGUGAGGAGAGUCUACCAAUGUCCUGACCCUCUCAGGUGGAGAGCUGUACAGUGAGAUGUGAGCAGACACCACCGUGCCCCAUCCAAGCAUCAAAGUGGUCUUAGCCUUCCCCACCCUGCCCAAGGCCCCCACACAUGCCGAAUAUACAUGAUAUGUGGGAGACCUCCCUGACCUGGACAUGCACAGCGCCUCCAUGUUCAGACCAUCUCAGGCUAUAUGUGGAGCUGUCUACAGUGUAGAUGGGGAAGAGCCGCCCCACUCUCUUUCUGAGGUGCAUGUGUGCAGCCAUCUCCAAUGGCGAGGCCAGCAGAGCCUUGGAGUGCUAGGCCCCUAUGUAACGUGUGGAGCCCUCCACUAGGAGGAUGUGAGUGGAGCCCCCCUAUCACCACAUUCUUGUCCUGUUGGUCACAUCCCAGCCAUUCAAUCCACCCCACAUGGAGUUCCCUCCAACUCAAGUAGGAGCAGCUCCCGUCCCCGAUGUCUGACCUCGUCAGUUAUGUGUGUCACUCAUACAUCAGGGAUGGGAGCAG
ensembl:lincRNA